AACGAACGCUGGCGGCAUGCCUAACACAUGCAAGUCGAACGAGACCUUCGGGUCUAGUGGCGCACGGGUGCGUAACGCGUGGGAACCUGCCCUUAGGUUCGGAAUAACUCCCCGAAAGGGGUGCUAAUACCGGAUAAUGUCUUCGGACCAAAGAUUUAUCGCCUUUGGAUGGGCCCGCGUUGGAUUAGCUAGUUGGUAGGGUAAAAGCCUACCAAGGCGACGAUCCAUAGCUGGUCUGAGAGGAUGAUCAGCCACACUGGGACUGAGACACGGCCCAGACUCUUACGGGAGGCAGCAGUGGGGAAUAUUGGACAAUGGGCGAAAGCCUGAUCCAGCAAUGCCGCGUGAGUGAUGAAGGCCUUAGGGUUGUAAAGCUCUUUUACCCAGGAUGAUAAUGACAGUACCGGGAGAAUAAGCUCCGGCUAACUCCGUG
rnacentral:rRNA from 1 species